UACGUAGGGGGCUAGCGUUGUCCGGAAUCAUUGGGCGUAAAGAGCGCGUAGGCGGCCCGGUAAGUCUGCUGUAAAAGUCAAAGGCUUAACCUUUGAAAGUCAGUGGAUACUGCCGGGCUAGAGUCCGGAAGAGGCGAGUGGAACUCCUGGUGUAGCGGUGGAAUGCGCAGAUAUCAGGAAGAACACCAACGGCGAAGGCAGCUCGCUGGGACGGAACUGACGCUGAGGCGCGAAAGCGUGGGGAGCGAACAGG
rnacentral:rRNA from 1 species